rnacentral:rRNA from 1 species
UCGAGGAUCUUCGGCAAUGGGCGCAAGCCUGACCGAGCGACGCCGCGUGCGCGAUGAAGGCCUUCGGGUUGUAAAGCGCUGUCGAGGGGGAGGAAAUCCCGAGCAAUCGGGACUGACUAAUCCCUGGAGGAAGCACGGGCUAAGUUCGUGCCAGCAGCCGCGGUAAGACGAACCGUGCGAACGUUGUUCGGAUUCACUGGGCUUAAAGGGCGCGUAGGCGGGCUGGCAAGUCAGGGGUGAAAUCCUCCGGCUCAACCGGAGAACAGCCUUUGAUACUGCCAGUCUAGAGGAAGGUAGGGGCAUGUGGAACUUCCGGUGGAGCGGUGAAAUGCGUAGAUAUCGGAAGGAACGCCGGUGGCGAAAGCGACGUGCUGGACCUUUACUGACGCUGAGGCGCGAAAGCCAGGGGAGCAAACGG